AGAGCGAACGCUGGCGGCAGGCCUAACACAUGCAAGUCGAGCGCGUGUAGCAAUACACGAGCGGCAGACGGGAGAGUAACACGUGGGAACGCGCCCUUCGGUUCGGAAUAACUCAGGGAAACUUGAGCUAAUACCGGAUACGCCCUUACGGGGAAAGAUUUAUUGCCGAAGGAACGGCCCGCGUCCGAUUAGCUAGUUGGUGAGGUAACGGCUCACCAAGGCGACGAUCGGUAGCUGGUCUGAGAGGAUGACCAGCCUCACUGGGACUGAGACACGGCCCAGACUCCUACGGGAGGCAGCAGUGGGGAAUAUUGGACAAUGGGCGCAAGCCUGAUCCAGCCAUGCCGCGUGGGUGAUGAAGGCCCUAGGGUUGUAAAGCCCUUUCGGCGGGGAAGAUAAUGACGGUACCCGCAGAAGAGCCCCGGCUAACUUCGCGCCAGCAGCCGC
rnacentral:rRNA from 1 species